rnacentral:rRNA from 1 species
GACGAACGCUGGCGGCGUGCUUAACACAUGCAAGUCGAACGGAAAGGCCCUGCUUUUGUGGGGUGCUCGAGUGGCGAACGGGUGAGUAACACGUGAGUAACCUGCCCUUGACUUUGGGAUAACUUCAGGAAACUGGGGCUAAUACCGGAUAGGAGCUCCUGCUGCAUGGUGGGGGUUGGAAAGUUUCGGCGGUUGGGGAUGGACUCGCGGCUUAUCAGCUUGUUGGUGGGGUAGUGGCUUACCAAGGCUUUGACGGGUAGCCGGCCUGAGAGGGUGACCGGGCACAUUGGGACUGAGAUACGGCCCAGACUCCUACGGGAGGCAGGAGUGGGGAAUAUUUGACAAUGGGCGGAAGCCUGAUGCAGCAACGCCGCGUGCGGGAUGACGGGCUUCGGGUUGUAAAACGCUUUCGCCUGUGACGAAGCGUGAGUGACGGUAAUGGGUAAAGAAGCACCGGCUAACUACGUG